rnacentral:rRNA from 1 species
ACACGUAGGAGGCGAGCGUUAUUCGGAUUUACUGGGCGUAAAGCGCGUGUAGGCGGCUGAUCAAGUUGGAUGUGAAAGCUCCCGGCUUAACUGGGAGAGGACGUUCAAAACUGAACAGCUUGAGUAUGAGAGAGGAAAAUGGAAUUCCGGGUGUAGUGGUGAAAUGCGUAGAUAUCCGGAGGAACACCAGUGGCGAAGGCGUAUUUUCUGGCUCAAGACUGACGCCCAGACGCGAAAGCUAGGGUAGC